GUUAGGGUGGCAGAACCCGGUGAUUGCAUAAAACUUAAACCUUUAUACUCAGAGGUUCAAAUCCUCUCCCUAACA
rnacentral:tRNA from 2 species